UCCGCGACGACCACGGCCGGGAUGAGCGCGUCGAUGAAGACGAGCCGCGGCUGAUCGUGAGCGUCUGGCGCCGCGGCGGCGGCGGCGAAGAGGAACGGGAGGAAGAACGGGAUGCCUCCGCCGCUCGAAUUGCUUGGGAUUUCGCCCAAUUGAUCGGGGGAAGCAGCUUCGGACGCCAUUGAUGGAGAAUUCGAGAUGAUUAGUGAAGGUUUAGAUAGAAUUGGAGAGAGGAGUUGAUGGAUUUGGGCGGGAUUCGGUAGUGUGGAUUUUUAUCGAGCAGGUGAUGGGCGAUGAGUCUGGAAGCUUGUGGAAAGUUCUGGAAUCAUCAUGUUGCGACAGAUGGCAGAUUCUUCAUUUGACUAUGUGAUCAAAACUUAAUCAACAUAGGAUUUCUAAAC
rnacentral:lncRNA from 1 species